UAUCCCUCCCACUUCCCUCCUCUCUUCUAGACACAUACCCCAGUCCCCAUCACCCUUUCCCCUCCUCUCCCUCCACUCUCUUCCAACUUGCCAUCUUCCUGCCUCUCCUGCCACCUUGGGUGGAGGCCCCGCCUGCAGUUUUCUAAACUAAGGACGUUUGGAAGGGAAGGUGUAAAUGCUGCUGACUGCCGCGGACAGCCCUCCACAUCCUUGUCAGCUCUUCAAACUCACUUCUCAACAUCCAUCUUCCCUUCUCCCAGGCAGCCUCUCCAGAAAAGGCCCACCUCCAUCCAGGCUACAACUCCCUGUAUGUACCCCGCUGUGGACCCAGCCAGGACCCAGCCUCCCGCCCCGCUUGCUAAGACCUGGGUGAUCUGGCGCUCGUCAGAUUAUUCAGAAGAAGCUGUCUGGUUCAGGUGGUGAAGCUCUGACCUAUGGGGGAAAAUCAGAAACUAAGAAGCCAUUUGGAUCAGUUGGUGAAACUCCAACUUCCAGGGAGGCAUGAAUGCUGGUGGAGGUAUAGCAAACUCUGUUCCAUCACAGUUCUGUUUCAUCUGUGUUCUGCUUUGAGAUUUUGCCUAGAAGACGGGAAAUGCCCCUCCUGUGUCCAAAGGAAGUGCAUUAGCACAUAUCUUGAAUAAAGAGUGCAGGAGGCUGAAAAGGAACCAGAGAAAAAGCCUACUCUGCACGAAGGGGAGACAGAAGAUGGAGAUACAGGAAUGUUAAUCCAAAUUUUGAAUAUGCCUCUGUCUUUGCCAGCAGCACCCAUGCUGCCACCGCCUCCACCACCCCCUGUUCCUGCACCACUAUGCCUAUAGCCCACACAGCCCAUUCCUGUACCACUCCAGGUGCUAUUUGCUCCUGCUCCUUUUACCCUCACUAUCAAGGAACAAAAAGCAUCCCAAGCUGUUGGACCACCUCCUCAUGAGGUUGACACUGAAGCACCUAUCAUAUCAGCACAAAGGGCCCCAGGGGCUCCCCUGGAUUUAAGCCAUCCAUUUCAGAUUUCCCCACAGAAGCCCCAGGUAAAAUGGACAGUGAGGAGCAAACUGAUUGAUUGUUUAGUGGACACAGGUGCAACAUAUUUAGAAUUAAAGCUAAUUCAAGGUUAGCUUAAUUAAAAUAAACAUGUCUUUAGAGUUAUCUGCAUCAAACAUAAAGCUUUUAUGCUACCAAGGUUUAUUAAAGGUCAAAUAAGCUCAUGUUAUCUCUGUUGCAAUUUAUCAGCAAAAAGACAACUGAAAAUGAUGGUUCAUUUCAUCUGUCUUGUGAAGUCUUCAUGGGUAAUUAUUAAGAGCAAUCAGGUUAAUAGAAAGUUUUAUAGGUAAACUUUUAAAUAGCUUUCAAAAUCAUUGGUAACCUGAAACUUUGCUAAGUUAAAAGGUAAAUUCAGUUAAAUUCAUUGGGUAUCUAGGUCUUUUCCAAAUACAUUAAAAUACUGAAAUAUUAAUCACUAAAUAUAAGAAACAAAACUUUUAUUACAGAAAAACUACAGAUAGUUGGGUCUGUUAAUAAACAUGUUUUAUGUUUUGUUGAAAGUUGUACUAUGAAAAAACACAUUCCUAUAAAUUAUAAAAUGUAUUUACAAACUUGCCAAUCUAAGGAAUUCUGGUGAAGAGUUCACAAUUGGUUAAUACUUAGUUUUCCUUGGAAACUAAGGUUUCUAAGGGUUAAAAUUCUCCUAAAUAUAAUUAAGACUGGGCGCCUGGGUGGUUCAGUCAUUUAAGCCUUCCUGAUUUCAGCUCAGGUCAUGAUCUCAGGGAUGUGAGAUCAAGACCCAUGUCAGGCUCCGAGCUGGGCAUGAAACCUCCUUAACAUUCUCCCUCUCCCUUUGUCCCUCCCCAGCACUUGCUUGCUCUCUCAUUCAGUAAAUACAUAAAUAAUAAAUAAAAUAUAUAAUUAAGACUGCUAGAGAUGAUAAGGAAAACAGCUCUGCAUGUAAGGAAAGCAAAAGAUGUGUAGCAAAGGUGUAAGGAAUGAGAACACAUUUUUGUUGAGGGAAAAGAAAGUACUUUUGUCCUGAAGGGAGACUGGUUGCUUAGAAAGGAAAAACCUAUAUCAAAAUCUGAAUGAAAAAAAGUUGUAAAAAGUUUGUGAAGGGGAAUCUUUGGGGAAAAAAAAAAUAUGCAUGGUUAGGACUAAGACUGGAAUGAAUGAGUUUUUAAAGUACACCAAAGUUUAAGUUUGGAAUUUGGUUUUUCCCUUGUUAAAAAGA